UACGGAGGGUGCGAGCGUUGUCCGGAAUCAUUGGGCGUAAAGGGCGCGUAGGUGGCCCGGUCAGUUCGUGGUGAAAGCGCGGGGCUCAACCCUGCGUCGGCCAUGAAUACUGCCGCGGCUGGAGCACUGUAGAGGCAGGCGGAAUUCCGGGUGUAGGCGGUGGAAUGCGCAGAUAUCAGGAAGAACACCCGUGGCUAAGGCGGCUCUCUAGUACGGUACUGACGCUGAGACGCGAAAGCGUGGGGAGCGAACAGG
rnacentral:rRNA from 1 species